rnacentral:rRNA from 1 species
CAAUCACUUGUCUUUUAAAUGGAGACCGGUAUGAAUGGCAAGACGAGGGCCUGACUGUCUCCUUUUUCCAGUCAAUGAAAUUGAUCCCCCCGUGCAGAAGCGGGGAUUAGCACAUAAGACGAGAAGACCCUGUGGAGCUUUAGACACCAAGACAGCUUAUGUUACACAACCCUAUUUAAAGGCCCGAACAAAAUAAACCCUGCCUAAAUGUCUUUGGUUGGGGCGACCACGGGGAAACGAAAAACCCCCGCGUGGACAGGGAGAACUAUAUCUCCUACAGACAAGAGCCCCCGCUCUAAUUAACAGAAACUCUGACCUACCAGAUCCGGCCUAGCCGAUCAACGAACCGAGUUACCCCAGGGAUAACAGCGCAAUCCUCUUUCAGAGCUCA